CGUCUCUUCAGGGUAAGACAUCGGACUGUAGAUCCGACGAUCGCGGGUUCGACUCCCGCCGGAA
rnacentral:tRNA from 1 species